rnacentral:rRNA from 1 species
GACGAACGCUGGCGGCGCGCCUAAUGCAUGCAAGUCGAGCGACGCAUAUUCGGUGGGUAACCACUGGGUAUGACGGAGCGGCGAACGGGUGAGUAACACGUGAGUAACCUGCCCCGAAGAUCGGGAUAGCCCGGGGAAACUCGGAUUAAUACCGAAUACCCUCUCUGGAUCGCAUGAUCCGAUGAGGAAAUGCCUUUGUGCUUCGGGAUGGACUCGCGGCCUAUCAGCUAGCUGGUGAGGUAACGGCUCACCAAGGCAACGACGGGUAGCUGGUCUGAGAGGACGAUCAGCCACACUGGGACUGAGACACGGCCCAGACUCCUACGGGAGGCAGCAGCAGGGAAUCUUGUCCAAUGGGCGAAAGCCUGAGACAGCGACGCCGCGUGAGGGAUGAAGGCCUUCGGGUUGUAAACCUCUUUCAGGAGGGACGAAAUUGACGGUACCUCCAGAAGAAGCCCCGGCCAACUACGUG